CUAGAGUCCUGUGGUGCUCAUGAAACCUGACGAAGGUGCCAGGAGCUGAGGGUGAGGGACGUCCGUGAGUGGAGGAAACUGCUGGAGGGUACACUGUAGCAAAACUGGAGAGUAAACCAAGAAAGAGGAAGACAAAUUAUCCAGGAAAUGCGAUCCCAAAGACAAGAUAAUCAAGCACAUCAAGAUUAUAGCAAGGAGAGACUUCCCAUACCAACAGCCAGGAAUCCAGGCUGAAGCAGGAGGAUGGAAAUCUUUCUGAAAAACAAGAAACUGUACAUCAUUUGGAAGAAGUUGGAAGAACCAGCGACAUCGUCCCAUCAAAGCUGCCUCCAUUUCCGUCUCCUUGUUUAUGUGGGUAAGUUGUCUUGACAUUUAUAUCUAUACAAAUAAAAAAAAAGCAGGGAUAAAAUUCAUGUUGAACUCUGGCUCAU
rnacentral:lncRNA from 1 species